rnacentral:sRNA from 2 species
GCAGCGCAACCGCCGAAUCCGCACCGGCCUUGACGUGCCCUCGCGGAGCCGGGGACCCAAUCCCCUUGGGGUGAAUCCGCGCCGUGCCGGCGCGGUAGGGCGACCUCUUACGCCCGAACCCGUCAGCUAACCCGGUAGGCGGGCGAAGAGGAAAG